GUCACCCACCACCAGACCCUUCAAAUUCCGGCAACCGCCUGUCUACUCCUCCCAGAUCCGGCCACCUCCGGUGAGUUCCGCCAAUAUCCCGCCACCAACAGCCACCGACGAAGCGUUUUAGCUGAAAACCCGGGUCAUUAACCGGUUUCCGGGUUCGCCGGUUUUCGCCGGUCGAACCGGGUUUUUGACCUUUGGACCGGGUUCUUGAAUUUUCCGG
rnacentral:lncRNA from 1 species